rnacentral:piRNA from 1 species
UGGACAGGUCCCAAACAGUGGUGGCUGUGA